AUGGAGAGGCCUCAGACUGAGGUGAUCAGGUGACAGAGAGGCCCUUGGCAGAAGCCACCAGCAAAGCAGAAGAGGAGUCACUGGUUUCACAGAUCUCGGGUUCCAACCCCAACUCUGACACUGAUUUGCUGGGUGACCUUAAGCAAGUCAUUUCCCCUCUCCAGUUCCCAUAGUAUGUAAAAUGAGGGGGUUCUGAGGUCCAUUCCUGAUGUUUUGGAGUCCUAGGAGAGGCUCUUAUCUCAAUCCUCCCCUCCACAAGACAGUUAGGAAUAAGUGAAGUCUGAGGGUCUCUGGGUGGCUUCAUGGACACCUGUAUUCACUCUCAAUUCAAGAGACCGUGCAGGGUUUGCAGAAGAGCCAAGUAAGUGGGCAAGGGCUCCUAUUCCAGUCUCUCAGGUUUAGGUGUAGGAUCCCCGAGGCAGGGCAGGAU
rnacentral:lncRNA from 1 species